CAGAGGAAUUUGUUCUAUAAUCGAUAAUCCACGAUGGACCUUACUUAAACUUGUUAAUCAGUUUAUAUACCGUCGUUAUUAGAAUAUUUUAUAAGAAAAAUAAUUUUCAUAAAAUUUUAUUAAAUUAUAUAUCAGAUCAAGGUGUAGCUUAUGUUUAAGUAGAAAUGGAUUACAAUAAAUUUAUUUAUACGGAGGUAAAUAUGAAAAAUUUAUUGAAGGUGGAUUUGAUAGUAAAAUUAUAAAGAUUAAUAAUUUGAUUUUAGCUCUAAAAUAUGU
rnacentral:rRNA from 1 species